CGGCGCACGGGUGCGCACCGCGUAUGGAACCUACCUUGUACAGGGGAAUAGCCUUUGGAAACGAAGAUUAAUGCCCCGUGGUACCAUGGCCCGGCAUCGGGAUAUGGUUAAAGCCUUCGGGCGGUACAAGAUGGCCAUGCGUCCCAUUAGCUUGUUGGUAAGGUAACGGCUUACCAAGGCUACGAUGGGUAGGGGCCCUGAGAGGGGGAUCCCCCACACUGGUACUGAGACACGGACCAGACUCCUACGGGAGGCAGCAGUGAGGAAUAUUGGACAAUGGAGGAGACUCUGAUCCAGCCAUGCCGCGUGCAGGAAGAAUGCCCUAUGGGUAGUAAACUGCUUUUAUACGGGAAGAAAAAGAGCUACGUGUAGCUUACUGACGGUACCGUAAGAAUAAGGACCGGCUAACUCCGUGCCAGCAGCCGCGGUAAUACGGAGGGUCCGAGCGUUAUCCGGAAUUAUUGGGUUUAAAGGGUCCGUAGGCGGGCCGAUAAGUCAGGGGUGAAAGUUUGCAGCUCAACUGUAAAAUUGCCUUUGAUACUGUUGGUCUUGAGUUAUAGUGAAGUUGCCGGAAUAUGUAGUGUAGCGGUGAAAUGCAUAGAUAUUACAUAGAACACCGAUUGCGAAGGCAGGUGACUAACUAUAUACUGACGCUGAUGGACGAAAGCGUGGGGAGCGAACAGGAUUAGAUACCCUGGUAGUCCACGCCGUAAACGAUGGAUACUAGCUGUCCGGGACCUUGAGUUCUGGGCGGCCAAGCGAAAGUGAUAAGUAUCCCACCUGGGGAGUACGUUCGCAAGAAUGAAACUCAAAGGAAUUGACGGGGGCCCGCACAAGCGGUGGAGCAUGUGGUUUAAUUCGAUGAUACGCGAGGAACCUUACCAGGGCUUAAAUGCAUAUUGACAGGUCUAGAGAUAGAUUUUCCUUCGGGCAAUUUGCAAGGUGCUGCAUGGUUGUCGUCAGCUCGUGCCGUGAGGUGUCAGGUUAAGUCCUAUAACGAGCGCAACCCCUACCGUUAGUUGCCAGCAUGUCAUGAUGGGGACUCUAACGGGACUGCCGGUGCAAACCGUGAGGAAGGUGGGGAUGACGUCAAAUCAUCACGGCCCUUACGUCCUGGGCCACACACGUGCUACAAUGGCAGGUACAGAGAGCAGCCACGUCGCAAGGCGGAGCGAAUCUAUAAAACCUGUCACAGUUCGGAUCGGGGUCUGCAACUCGACCCCGUGAAGCUGGAAUCGCUAGUAAUCGGAUAUCAGCCAUGAUCCGGUGAAUACGUUCCCGGGCCUUGUACACACCGCCCGUCAAGCCAUGAAGCCGGGAGUGCCUGAA
rnacentral:rRNA from 1 species